rnacentral:rRNA from 1 species
UACGAAGGGGGCUAGCGUUGUUCGGAAUUACUGGGCGUAAAGGGCGCGUAGGCGGUGUGUCAAGUCAGGCGUGAAAGCCCCGGGCUCAACCUGGGAACCGCGCUUGAGACUGGCACGCUCGAGUUCGGGAGAGGAUGGUGGAAUUCCAGUGUAGAGGUGAAAUUCGUAGAUAUUGGGAAGAACACCGAUGGCGAAGGCAGCCAUCUGGACCGACACUGACGCUGAGGCGCGAAAGCGUGGGGAGCAAACAGG